rnacentral:lncRNA from 1 species
AAUGAAGGAUGGAUACGGAAUAGUUAUGAAGUAUCAAAUAAUUGUAAAGAAUGAUUUCAUAAUCAUUUUGUAGUGAAUUCAGGAAGUAGGCCCGUCCGGGACUCAAACCAGGGUCCGGUAACUGUCAAGCCAAGACUUUAAUGGUAACGCCAAGAGGUCUGGGUUAAGGUUACUAUAUUACCACCUUCCUUCAGGAGAGUGUCCCCACACUUCUCUAUACCAAGUCUCUCUCAUGUGUACACGCCUCUCCGAUGGCCUCACGGGUACCAUCCCAAUUCACUAGGUGUGGGUUAAGGUCUCCUACAAUAUCGAUUUUCAAGUAUGUUUUCAUAUUUCAUACACACACAGCCUAAAGCACAUGGUAUCUAAUGUUACAAAUAUAUCCAGCCAGGGUCAAUUACUUAUUUUGUAAUUUGUUUGAAUAGCUUUUUGUGUGUUUGUUUUCUUGACAUGAAGGACUUGUGGUGGUUUGAUAUGAAGAACAUGAAGGACUUGAGGUGGUUUGAUAUGAAGAACAUGAAGGACUUGAGGUUGUUUGAUAUGAAGCACUUGAGGUGGUUUGAUAUGAAGGACUUGAGGUGGUUUGAUAUGAAGGACAAUAGGUGGUUUGAUAUGAAGGACAAGAGGUGGUUUGAUAUGAAGGACAUGAGGUGGUUUGAUAUGAAGGACAAGAGGUGGUUUGAUAUGAAGUACAUGAGGUGGUUUGAUAUGAAGGACAUAAGGUGGUUUGAUAUGAAGGACAAGAGGUGGUUUGAUAUGAAGGACUCACAUACAACCAAACUUUAUUUAGAUCAUGCUGGAUUAAUCUGAUUCUGUUCAUACUGUACUAGGCUACCUAAGGUCUAGUAUGCACUAAUGCAGUGGUUCCCAACCAUUCUUUUGUUACUGUACCACCAACUGAAUUUUGCUCUGCCUGGAGUACCCCUGAAGUACCCCCUCGUGUAUUUUACCAGUAGGGCUAUGGGCUCAUGAGUCUUCUCAAGUACCCCUGUGGAUAGACCAGGUACCCCCAGGGGUCCUAGUACCACUGGUUGGGAACCACUGCAGUAAUGAACUCUUAAAGUGGAUGUGAAUGAAGGAUAUGCCAGCAUGUACAUUAGCUAGUGUUGAGAUUUUAAGAUACUAUUUUAAAUGUAAAAAGAAAAAAAAAAAACAUCUGCAUUUUGUACUGCAAUGUACGUACUCGCACGCACACUCACUCAGGAAUUACAUACGACGUUAAUACACCUUUGUUACAUAUUUAUUGUGGAUAAUAUAUUUACUAUUUAGUCACGAUCUCAACAUCUCUGUUUUGAAUGGACAAUGCCUACUGGCAUCAUUGUUUACAGUCUGCUAAAAGUUUACUUCAGAGAUGUAUAUGAAGAAAAAACAUCUACAAUAUUGUAAAUAAAUGUGUAAAUAUGUAAUUUGGUUUACUUUGUGUUUUAUUUUCACUUAACAAUAACAGAUAUGGUGAAGAAAGCU